rnacentral:rRNA from 1 species
CCUACGGGAGGCAGCAGUGAGGAAUAUUGGUCAAUGGACGAGAGUCUGAACCAGCCAAGUAGCGUGAAGGAUGACUGCCCUAUGGGUUGUAAACUUCUUUUAUAUGGGAAUAAAAUGUUCCACGUGUGGGAUUUUGUAUGUACCAUAUGAAUAAGGAUCGGCUAACUCCGUGCCAGCAGCCGCGGUAAUACGGAGGAGCCGAGCGUUAUCCGGAUUUAUUGGGUUUAAAGGGAGCGUAGGUGGAUUGUUAAGUCAGUUGUGAAAGUUUGCGGCUCAACCGUAAAAUUGCAGUUGAAACUGGCAGUCUUGAGUACAGUAGAGGUGGGCGGAAUUCGUGGUGUAGCGGUGAAAUGCUUAGAUAUCACGAAGAACUCCGAUUGCGAAGGCAGUUCACUGGACUGCAACUGACACUGAGGCUCGAAAGUGUGGGUAUCAAACAGGAUUAGAGACCCUUGUAGUC